rnacentral:rRNA from 1 species
UACGUAGGGUGCGAGCGUUGUCCGGAAUUAUUGGGCGUAAAGGGCUCGUAGGCGGUUUGUCGCGUCUGCUGUGAAAACUCAGGGCUUAGCCCUGAGCCUGCAGUGGGUACGGGCAGACUAGAGUGUGGUAGGGGAGAUCGGAAUUCCUGGUGUAGCGGUGGAAUGCGCAGAUAUCAGGAGGACACCGAUGGCGAAGGCAGAUCUCUGGGCCGUAACUGACGCUGAGGAGCGAAAGCAUGGGGAGCGAACAGG